GCGAAGGUGGCGGAAUUGGUAGACGCGCUAGCUUCAGGUCUGAGUGUUCUUACGGCCGUGGGGGUUCAAGUCCCCCCCCUCGCA
rnacentral:tRNA from 1 species